UACAAAAAGAUUCAGUAUUUAAUACAAAAGGCAAAGCCUCAAAACAUUUUCAAUGCGAGCAAACAACAUCCAAUCACAGUAAAACAUUGCUCAAACAUUAUUUCCUACAUAGGUCUUCUGACCUGCAUCUAAAGGUGGAAAGGAUAGGGUGAGUUCACAACUCAGUAGGAAAGUUUAUAACCAUCCUAAGCAUACCCUUAAAAACCUUGAAUUAAAC
rnacentral:lncRNA from 1 species